rnacentral:rRNA from 1 species
UACGUAGGGGGCAAGCGUUGUCCGGAUUUAUUGGGCGUAAAGCGCGUGUAGGCGGCUUUACAGGUCCGUUGUGAAAACUCGAGGCUCAACCUCGAGACGCCGGUGGAAACCGUAAAGCUAGAGUCCGGAAGAGGAGAGUGGAAUUCCUGGUGUAGCGGUGAAAUGCGCAGAUAUCAGGAGGAACACCCGUGGCGAAAGCGGCUCUCUGGGACGGUACUGACGCUGAGACGCGAAAGCGUGGGGAGCAAACAGG